AUGAAAACCCUCAUGGAUCAGCUGAUUGUGAAUCUUCUUAAGGAAGAACAGGUUCCCCAGAACAAGAUUACUGAUUGGUGCUGUGGGCAUGGCUUGUGCCAUCAGUAUCUUAAUGAAGGACUUGGCAGAUGAGCUUGCCCUUGUUGACGUCAUGGAAAACAAACUAAAGAGAGAGAUGAUGGAUCUCCAGCAUGGCAGCCUCUUCCUUAAAACAUCAAAAAUUGUCUCCAGCAAAGACUAUUGUGUAACUGCAAACUCCAAGCUGGUCAUCAUCACAGCCCGUCAGCAAGAGGGAGAGAGCCGACUCAAUCUAGUCCAGCGAAACGUGAACAUCUUCAAGUUCAUCAUUCUGAACAUUGUCAAGUAUAGUCCACACUGCAAGCUGCUUAUUGUCUCACAUCCAGUGGAUAUCUUGACUUACGUAGCUUGGAAAAUCAGUGGCUUUCCCAAAAGCCGAGUUUUGGGGAGUGGUUGCAAUCUGGAUUCAGCUCGGUUCUGUUACCUGAUGGGAAAAAGGCUGGGGGUUCACCCGCUGAGCCGUCAUAGCUGGGAGAACAUGGCGACUCCAGUGUGCCUGUGUGGAGUGGUGUGAAGGUUGCCAGCAUCUUCCUGAAGUCUCUGAACCCAGAGCUGGGUAGUGAUGCAGACAAGAAGCAGUGGAAGGAGGUUCACAAGCAGGUGGUGGACAGUGCCUAUGAGGUGAUCAAGCAGAAAGCCAUUAGCCUCUCUGUGGCAGACUUGGCCGAGAGCAUAAUGAAGAACCUUAGACGGGUGCAUCCCAUUUCCACCACGAUUAAGGGUCUCUACGGAAUCAAUGAGGAUGUCUUCCUCAGUGCCCCAUGUAUCCUGGGACAAAAUGGAAUCUUGGAUGUUGUGAAGGUGACACUGACAGGAAGAGGCCCUCCUGAAGAAGAGUGCAGAUGCCCUCUGGGGAAUCCAGAAGGAGCUGCGGUUCUAAAGUCUUCCCAGUGUCCUAGCACUUCACUGUCCAGGCUGCAGCAGGGUUUCUGGGGAGACCACACCCUUCUCAUCAGAGCUGUGGUCAGUACAGUGGUAUUGAGGUGGUGUGGGGAAACAUCUCAGUCCCCACAGCUCUGCCCUGCUGCCAAGUGGCACUUGUGUAGUGGUAACCUGGUUAGUGUGACAGUCCCACUGUCUCCAAGACACACUGCCAACUGCGCAGGCUUCGGUUACCCUGUGAGCCUGCUGCAUUGAUGCCCUGUGCACCUUCCCCAAGCAUGCCUAGGCCAACGCAUUCCCAGUUAGUCAGAACCUGGCUCCAGUGUGGAUGUCCAUUAU